AAAGCAGGCCGCGAUUACAGAACUUCAUUUUUGUGGGAGUAUUGCCAUUAUCCUGCUGAAAGAAAAGCCAUGUUGAUUGUUUCUGAUUUUGCGUCUCUGGGAGUAAAAUCCUGACACCUUGACAUGAACCAUU
ensembl:snoRNA